rnacentral:rRNA from 1 species
GACGAACGCUGGCGGCGUGCCUAAUACAUGCAAGUCGACCUUAGUGGCGGACGGGUGAGUAACACGUGGGAACCUACCUAUUAGAGGGGGAUAACUAUUGGAAACGAUAGCUAAUACCGCAUACUAGUAGAUGGACCCGCGGUGCAUUAGCUAGUUGGUGAGGUAACGGCUCACCAAGGCCACGAUGCAUAGCCGGCCUGAGAGGGUGACCGGCCACAUUGGGACUGAGAUACGGCCCAGACGCCGACGGGAGGCAGCAGUGGGGAAUAUUGGACAAUGGGCGAAAGCCUGAACCAGCCAUGCCGCGUGUGUGAAGAAGGUCUUCGGAUUGUAAAGCACUUUAAGUUGGGAGGCGUUACCAACAGAAUAAGCACCGGCUAACUUCGUGCCAGCAGCCGCGGUAAUAC